rnacentral:tRNA from 1 species
GUUUUUAUAGUUUAAAUAAAACAUUAAUUUUGUAAAUUAAAAAUAAUACUAAUAUUUAAAAACU